rnacentral:lncRNA from 1 species
GGGAAAUAUAUCCUGAGCACAGGUGUGGUGCUUUAUUUGAACUAACCAACUGAUACAUUUAAACAAUAUAGGCAUGAGACGGAGGGGGAAACUAGGAGACAGAACUGGCGAUAAAUUUGAGGUAAUUAUCUAAAAUUGUUGCUUUACGAUUUGUUUUCUUUGUCCCUAUGCUGUCAAUAAAUGCAUACGUUGCAUUUUGACACUAACGUAAUUUAGUUAAAAUCCAGGAAUGCGUUCGGCAGCUGCUUUUCCAAGUGUGCACACACAGCUUCUCUCAGGAACCAAGAGUCA